CUGGCGGCGUGCCUAACACAUGCAAGUCGAACGGGGUUACGUGGCAGCGGAGAUUCGGUCAAAGCAGCUUAACCUAGUGGCGGACGGGUGAGUAACGCGUGGGGAACCGUGCCCUGUACUGGGGGGAUAACAGUGAGAAAUCACUGCUAAUACCGCAUAAGCGCACAGCAUCGCAUGAUGCAGUGUGAAAAACUGAGGUGGUACAGGAUGGCUCCGCGUUGGAUUAGCCAGUUGGCGGGGUAACGGCCCACCAAAGCGACGAUCCAUAGCCGGCCUGAGAGGGUGAACGGCCACAUUGGGACUGAGACACGGCCCAGACUCCUACGGGAGGCAGCAGUGGGGAAUAUUGCACAAUGGGGGAAACCCUGAUGCAGCGAACCGCCGCGUGAAGGAAGAAGUAUCUCGGUAUGUAAACUUCUAUCAGCAGGGAAGAUGAUGACGGUACCUGACUAAGAAGCCCCGGCUAACUACGUGCCAGCAGCUGC
rnacentral:rRNA from 1 species